rnacentral:tRNA from 1 species
UCCUGACUGGCUCAGUUGGUAGAGCAUCUGACUCAUGAUCUCUGGGUUGUGAGUUCAAGCCUCAUGCUGGGGG